rnacentral:rRNA from 1 species
AGUGGCGGACGGGUGAGUAACACGUGGGUAACCUGCCCAUAAGAGGGGGAUAACAUCCGGAAACGGGUGCUAAUACCGCAUAGUUUUCUUGAUCGCAUGAUCGAGAAAGGAAAGACGGCCUUUGUGCUGUCGCUUAUGGAUGGACCCGCGGCGUAUUAGUUAGUUGGUGAGGUAACGGCUCACCAAGACGAUGAUACGUAGCCGACCUGAGAGGGUGAUCGGCCACAUUGGGACUGAGACACGGCCCAAACUCCUACGGGAGGCAGCAGUAGGGAAUCUUCCGCAAUGGACGAAAGUCUGACGGAGCAACGCCGCGUGAGUGAAGAAGGUUUUCGGAUCGUAAAACUCUGUUGUCAGAGAAGAACAAGUCGGAGAGUAACUGCUCCGGCCUUGACGGUAUCUGACCAGAAAGCCACGGCUAACUACGUGCCAGCAGCCGCGGUAAUACGUAGGUGGCAAGCGUUGUCCGGAUUUAUUGGGCGUAAAGCGAGCGCAGGCGGUUCCUUAAGUCUGAUGUGAAAGCCCACGGCUCAACCGUGGAAGGUCAUUGGAAACUGGGGAACUUGAGUGCAGAAGAGGAGAGUGGAAUUCCAUGUGUAGCGGUGAAAUGCGUAGAUAUAUGGAGGAACACCAGUGGCGAAGGCGACUCUCUGGUCUGUAACUGACGCUGAGGCUCGAAAGCGUGGGGAGCAAACAGGAUUAGAUACCCUGGUAGUCCACGCCGUAAACGAUGAGUGCUAAGUGUUGG